UUAGACGGGGCCGCACAAGCGGUGAGCAGUGUGGUUUUAAUUCGAAGCAACGCGAAGAACCUUACCAGGUCUUGACAUCCCGAUGCUAUUUCUAGAGAUAGAAAGUUACUUCGGUACAUCGGUGACAGGUGGUGCAUGGUUGUCGUCAGCUCGUGUCGUGAGAUGUUGGGUUAAGUCCCGCAACGAGCGCAACCCCUAUUCGUUAGUUUGCCAUCAUUCAGUUGGGCACUCUAGCGAGACUGCCGGUAAUAAACCGGAGGAAGGUGGGAUGACGUCAAAUCAUCAUGCCCCUUAUGACCUGGGCUACACACGUGCUACAAUGGUUGGUACAACGAGUUGCGAGUCGGUGACGGCGAGCUAAUCUCUUAAAGCCAAUCUCAGUUCGGAUUGUAGGCUGCAACUCGCCUGCAUGAAGUCGGAAUCGCUAGUAAUCGCAGGUCAGCAUACUGCGGUGAAUACGUUCCCGGGCCUU
rnacentral:rRNA from 1 species